rnacentral:rRNA from 1 species
CCUACGGGAGGCAGCAGUGGGGAAUUUUGCGCAAUGCAGGCAACUCUGACCCAGCGACGCCGCGUGAAUGAUGAAGGUCUUCGGAUUGUAAAGUUCUGUGGUGGGGGAUGAACACAAUGACGGUACCCCAAUAGCAAGCCACGGCUAACUGCGUACCAGCCGCCGCGGAACUACGUAGGUGGCAAGCGUUAUGCGGAGGGACUGGGCGUAAAGGGUGCGUAGGUGGUUUAGUAAGUUGGCGGUGUAAUUCCGGGGCUCAACCUCGGCGCUACCGCGAAAACUAUUAGACUAGAGUGCAGGAGGGGGAAGUGGAAGUCCUGGUGUAGCGGUGGAAUGCGUAGAUAUUAGGAGGAAUACCAGGGGCGAAGGCGACAUACUGGACUGUAACUGACACUGAGGCACGAAAGCGUGGGGAGCAAACAGGAUUAGAUACCCGUGUAGUC